rnacentral:rRNA from 1 species
UACGUAGGGUCCGAGCGUUGUCCGGAAUUAUUGGGCGUAAAGAGCUCGUAGGCGGUUUGUCGCGUCUGCUGUGAAAACCUAAGGCUCAACCUUGGGCUUGCAGUGGGUACGGGCAGACUAGAGUGCGGUAGGGUGACUGGAAUUCCUGGUGUAGCGGUGGAAUGCGCAGAUAUCAGGAGGAACACCGGUGGCGAAGGCGGGUC